UGGGGAAUAUUGCGCAAUGGGGGAAACCCUGACGCAGCGACGCCGUGUGAGGGAAGAAGGCUUUCGGGUCGUAAACCUCUGUCGGGAGGGAAGAACCUUCCAGGUCUGAACAAGGCUUGGAACUGACGGUACCUCCAAAGGAAGCACCGGCUAACUCCGUGCCAGCAGCCGCGGUAAUACGGAGGGUGCAAGCGUUAAUCGGAAUCACUGGGCGUAAAGCGCGCGUAGGCGGCUUUUUAAGUCGGACGUGAAAGCCCUCGGCUCAACCGGGGAACUGCGUUCGAAACUGGGAAGCUUGAGUCCUGGAGAGGGUGGCGGAAUUCCGGGUGUAGGAGUGAAAUCCGUAGAUAUCCGGAGGAACACCGGUGGCGAAGGCGGCCACCUGGACAGGUACUGACGCUGAGGCGCGAAAGCGUGGGGAGCAAACAGG
rnacentral:rRNA from 1 species